ACUCCCAGCACGGGGAGGUAGUGACAAUAAAUAACGAUACGGGACUCAUCCGAGGCCCCGUAAUCGGAAUGAGUACACUUUAAAUCCUUUAACGAGUACCAAUUGGAGAGCAAGUCUGGUGCCAGCAGUCGCGGUAAUUCCAGCUCCAAUAGCGUAUAUUAAAGUUGUUGCAGUUAAAAAGCUCGUAGUUGGUUCUGUGUGCCACACUGUUGGUUUACCGCCUGUCGGUGUAACUGACAUGUCGUGGGACGUCCUGUCGGUGGUAUUAGUCAACCCAAUCAAGUUGUCAUGAAUUUGCUCAGCUUGUUUGGUCAAUUGCUUUUACCUAUAAUUCUUAUCGCGGUGCUCUUUAUUGAGUGUCGAGAUGAGCCGACACGUUUACCUUGAACAAAUUAGAGUGCUCAAGGCAGGCUAAAUUAUGCUUGAAUAUUUGUGCAUGGAAUAAUAGAACAGGACCUUGGUUCUAUUUUGUUGGUUUUCUGAAUCCAAGGUAAUGAUCAAUAUGGACGGUCGGGGGCAUUCGUAUUGCGGCGUUAGAGGUGAAAUUCUUGGAUCGUCGCAAGACGAACUAGAGCGAAAGCAUUUGCCAAGUAUGUCUUAAUUGAUCAAGAACGAAAGUUAGAGGUUCGAAGGCGAUCAGAUACCGCCCUAGUUCUAACCAUAAACGAUGUCAGCCAGCGAUCCGUAGGGUUCUCUUAAUGACUCGACGGGCAGCUUCCGGGAAACCAAAGCUUUUGGGUUCCGGGGGAAGUAUGGUUGCAAAGCUGAAACUUAAAGGAAUUGACGGAAGGGCACCACCAGGAGUGGAGCCUGCGGCUUAAUUUGACUCAACACGGGAAAUCUCACCAGGCCCAGACAUUGGAAGGAUUGACAGAUUGAUAGCUC
rnacentral:rRNA from 1 species